UUUGAUGCAACAUUAGUUACCACGGUAGCUUAGGGCAAACCCCAUGCAAGGCUGGUCGGCGCGCGCCAUUGUGGGAAAUGUAGUUCGAUGGCGCGACUUGUUUGUAGUUGACGUGGGGCCUUCGGGAAGGGAAGCGAAGGCGAGAGGGAAGUCAGACCAGGAGGAGAGGGGGCGGAAGGACUGAGGAAGGCGUGAGGUGCAGGGCAGAACUUUCCGUGUCCCUAGGCUGAUCUGCACCUUCAUUUUCCUCUCCUGCCAUGUGGAGAGCGUAGUACUCCUCGCCGCCCCCCUGACGAGGACCCGGAAGGAUUCCCGGUGGUAACAGUGAAUCUGAGCCCCUGCUAGUGUCCAGUGAAGACAGGUCGGUGGGAGAGGACUCUUUACAAAAAGAAGACUGACAUUAAAUGCCUGCAGGACUGCAGGAAUUCACGAGUCCAUCUCAGUGCCCUAGAGUAGAUCUGGUCAAAGAAUGCUUGGGAAAAAUUGACUUUGGAUGGUAGACCGAAACCUAGAGACUAAUGUCUGCUUCCUGCCUGGAGAAGUCAAGGCAGGAGGCUGGCUGGAGCUGCCCUUAUUGGCACGCAGGGCAGUAUUUGGUGUGGCAAGAUGUGUAAUAUUCCCCUGAGGAAAUGGAUGCCAGGAAAGAAAGCUGAGCUUCCGCCUAAGGUUAAUCUGCUGGGGCAAGGAAGGAACCCUAGCCUAAAAGACCAUGGAAGACCUCCAAGGGCAGGAGGGGAGCGGAGGGAGUUACAACAGGUCAGCCAAAGGUCACUUAACUUGCAUCACGAUACCCCGCGGAUGGAGUUCCCUAGGCAGAGGAGGAGGAGAGAAUCUACUGAAAAAUCCACAAAGUACUGAAAUUCCAGAGCACAUGGACCAUCAGGAGAGAGCCACAAAUAGCCCCAUAUAAGAGGUUUUAUCCAAACCUCAGCCCACCCCUGCCGGAGCCUGGAGCAGGGGAGCGAAGAGGAGGAGUGAAAGAAGGAGAAGAAAACAGAUGGACUCCUGAUCGGCUGCAGGUUGUAGAGCCACAGAUCAUGCCAGACCUGGGAGUGAGGAAGGAGCUCUGACAUAGGUAUAGGAUUUAAGUUUUAAAUUAGAUUGAAUGGGGACUAUUCAUCUUAAAAAUAGCAGAUGAAAAUCCAAGACACCAGGAGAGAGCAAGAGUCCCUGAGACUCUGGAAUGUAACUGAAGACAUUGUGACAUUGUGUCCUACUCUGAAGCCUAGUGGAGGGGGCAAAGAAGAGUCCCAAGAAUUAGUACUGAAAGUAGAGGAAAGCAGGAUCCUGAGGCCUAUGGAGAGGAAAGGAGAGUUCUUGGGAAGCUGGUUACGGCCUGAGAAAGACUCCAAGGUGGAGGAGAAUGACCCAUGUUCCUGGAAGACAAAGAACUCCACAAAAAACAACUCCCGAGGUUACCAAGCUGUGGAGGCUCUGGCUCAGGCUCCAUCACUCAUCUGUGUUCAGCAUCUUCAUGGCUUGGCGCUGUGAAAGUUGCCCUUUUCCUUGGGGCUUUAUAUAUUUCUUAAAUAAGUGAAAGUUUUGGGCUUUGAAGAGUGAUAUCACCUGACAGAAGUUGAAAGGAUCUGCAUGGACCCAAAAGGAUGUGUGCCCUUUCAGUUCCAUUCUGGAACAUUGGCUAACAUGCCCACCAAAGUAUUAUUUCAUUCUCUAGAAGGACAAACCUUUAUUUAACCUUGUUUCAUGGUUAAUACAAAAGUAAUACACUUGUUCAUUAUUCGUUUUAAAGAUAA